UGUUGAUUGGCUUGCUACAAGUUUCAAGAGAGAUGAAGGCAUUGAUCUCCUGAAAGAUAAACAAGCUCUUCAACGUCUCACUGAGACUGCAGAGAAGGCCAAGAUGGAGUUGUCAACCUUGACCCAAACAAACAUCAGCUUACCAUUUAUCACUGCAACAGCUGAUGGCCCCAAGCACAUUGAGACAACCAUCACAAGGGCUAAAUUUGAGGAAUUAUGCUCAGAUCUACUUGACAGGCUUAAAACUCCCGUGGAGAAUUCCUUGAAAGAUGCGAAACUUACCUUCAAGGAUAUCGAUGAGGUGAUUCUUGUUGGUGGGUCAACCCGAAUCCCAUCUGUUCAGGGACUUGUGAAGAGGUUGACAGGAAAGGACCCCAAUGUUACUGUCAAUCCCGAUGAAGUUGUUGCUCUUGGGGCUGCAGUGCAGGCUGGUGUGCUUUCUGGGGAUGUUAGUGAUAUUGUUCUUCUUGAUGUAACACCACUGUCCAUUGGUCUUGAGACACUGGGUGGAGUUAUGACAAAGAUUAUCCCAAGGAACACAACACUGCCUACCUCUAAAUCUGAGGUCUUCUCUACAGCAGCUGAUGGUCAGACGAGUGUCGAAAUUAAUGUUCUUCAGGGUGAAAGAGAGUUUGUCAGGGACAACAAAUCUCUUGGCAGCUUCCGCCUUGAUGGGAUCCCACCUGCUCCACGGGGUGUCCCACAGAUUGAAGUCAAAUUUGAUAUCGACGCUAAUGGUAUUCUCUCUGUAACUGCUGUGGAUAAGGGUACUGGAAAGAAACAGGACAUCACAAUCACAGGAGCUAGCACCUUGCCAAGUGAUGAGGUGGAGAGAAUGGUGAAGGAAGCCGAGAGAUUUUCAAAGGAGGACAAAGAGAAGCGUGAUGCCAUAGACACCAAGAACCAGGCUGAUUCGGUCAUCUACCAAACAGAAAAGCAACUGAAGGAGUUGGGCGACAAAAUCCCUGCAGCGGUCAAAGAAAAGGUAGAGGCGAAGCUUGGAGAGCUGAAGAAUGCCAUCUCUAGCGGUUCGACACAAGGCAUUAAGGAUGCAAUGGCCGCAUUGAACCAGGAGGUAAUGCAAAUUGGGCAGUCACUCUACAACCAGCCAGGAGCAGCAGGACCUGCUCCAGGAGCAGAUGCAGGUCCUUCAGGCCCUGAGGGUAAGGGACCAGAAGAUGGUGGAGAUGUUAUCGAUGCAGACUUCACUGAUAGCAAGUGAGGAGUUUGAUAGGCGAUUUUUUUCCGUGGCCUGCAUGGGUUGACUGGUGGGUUCAAAAUGUUGAUCUUGCUCGUUUUUCGUUCAGUAUCCCACCUGUUUGCUCUUAUGAAAUUUGAGAAAUAGAUAGGAGGCUGGUUCUUAGAACCGUGUUAUCUUUCUUGGAUAUCUUUGGGAUAGUAGGG
rnacentral:misc_RNA from 1 species